rnacentral:rRNA from 1 species
UACGUAGGGUGCAAGCGUUAUCCGGAAUUAUUGGGCGUAAAGAGCUCGUAGGCGGUUUGUCGCGUCUGCUGUGAAAACUGGAGGCUCAACCUCCAGCCUGCAGUGGGUACGGGCAGACUAGAGUGCGGUAGGGGAGAUUGGAAUUCCUGGUGUAGCGGUGGAAUGCGCAGAUAUCGGGAGGAACACCGGUGGCGAAGGCGGUUCUCUGGGCCUUACCUGACGCUGAGGAGCGAAAGCGUGGGGAGCGAACAGG